AAAUGUAAUAAAUUCGAUAGAGAUAAAGUAGAGUUAAAGAUAUA
rnacentral:guide_RNA from 1 species